CUAGAUAAUCAGUGCUUCUCCUCUCAAAACUCAUUUCUCUCUCUCUCUAAUCUUCACUAUUCUCUCUGGGUAAACAUCAACGAGAAGCACCAAAUUUCUCCAUUGUUAUUUGCAACUUAUCUGGAUUCCAAAAUGUUGAGCAAACGUCAUCAAUAAAGGUUGUCAGCAGUGGCAUUAUCUCCGGCAGAGGUGUAACCACCGGUUUUCAUACAGAUCCGGUGGCUGUCACUAGAUUGAUGAGGUUUUGGUUGGGAUUCGCGACUUGGUGAGAUGUGCAGGUUAUAAGCCACGCCCCAAAGAAGUGUUGUGGCGUUACUUACACUAAAAAGCGCAAGGCUGGUCAAGUUUAUGGAGUCUCUCUAACUGGUAAUUUAUUGAGUAAGUCCGGUGUUUUUUCCAGAACAGAAAGCCAGUGGUGAAGAUUUUCAGAAGAAAUGGAUUGAGGGUUAUGGAAUUGGGAUCAUUUUAUACAGUUGACAUGUGCACGGUUCAUUUUAUAGAUCCCAUGAAGAUGGCUCAGUAUCAUCACGUAAGCAGCCCUUAUAUCGUUAAACAAGAGUGACAUAGUUGUGAAGUACAUAAAGCUUGAAUGUAGCCCCCUCGGUGGAGCCUGUUAAAAUGAUUGAAAGUGUACAUGUGGAGAAGAAUCACAUUACUGAUCAAGUUGUUGAACCACCAGAGGAAAUCUCAAGUUGCCGAGCCGAGUCCAGUUUUAGGUGUUUUAUAUAUAACUUUCAAGUAUUUGGCAGGUCGGGUGGGUUGUGUAGUGUGUACCAGAGAAAAACUCAUUAUGAAUUAUUCUAAUCAAGCAAGCCAUUGAAGCUUCAGAUUGUUUAAGACCAGAAUUGGACCUUAGAACCGAAGACAUUGUUGAAAUCGAAUUGUGCCUUAGAAUGGGCGUCAGGUUUCCAUACAUAAGGGUAUUGUAAUCUCAAACAAAAGGCUUGUAUAAGCUUGAAGAAGCGGUCAAACUCGCAGCCUUUUCUUUGAAUCUUUCCGGUCGCGAAAAACCUGUCAGGCAGCCUGGAAACAAUAAUGGUGUGAGUCUGGAAACAAUAAUGUUGUAGGUCUGAAGGUGUAAUUCAUGAAAAUUGUAUCACAUUCGCCUUCUACUCUACUUGGACCAAAUUGAGCUCUUUGGGGCUGCCUUAAAUUGGCUCAUGGCUGGUCCAAGAGGCCUGUUCAAUGAUGGUGCACCAUCUAUUGCAGCAGUCUGCAUGCUGCAGUGGCAUAAAACGAAGGCCAACCAGGGAUUACCCCUGUCAUACAGCCUAAAGGUAUUGAAUUGAAAGAUAAUCCAACGGGUGAAUAGGUGGCAGGAGGAUCUGAUUGGAGAAAAGAUGCAGGAGAUGAAGGUGGAGCGAUAAAGGGAAAUAUUACCAUGUAAUUGUUAGCGCUUUGGGUCGCGGGUGGUGCUGGUCCGGGUGGCGCUGACUCAGGCGCUAAGAGGGCGUGACUAAUUUGUUUGCUUUAUUUGUAAGAUCUAAAACACAAGUAUAGACUCCAGCAGCUGCCCCAUCUCAUCUCUUCUGAAGACAUAUAUGUAAUAUGCAAUGUGAAAUGAUUUAUUAAGAAAUUAUAGAACCGAUGAAUCGCAAAUUAAAAACACCACUGUACUGAACAAGCAUAAAAAUGAUUACUUUAAAUUUCCAUU